ensembl:snoRNA SNORD116 Small nucleolar RNA SNORD116
GGAUUCAUGGUUACUCCCACAAAAACGUUACUGGGAACGCUGAACAAAAUGAGCGAGAGGUAGGCAGUGUCGUCCUCACCGUGACCGAGGUCC